CAUUAUUAAACUUUGACUAACGUUUCGAUGUGUCGAUGUUUAAGGUGCAUCAAAGUUUAAGGUGUCUAAUGGUGUCCCAAAAUUGCAAUACACAGAUCAGCCACCAGAGGGCAUCUUUCUCACAGCCAAAAUGGGGUAGCUUCCACUGACAUACAGUAACUGAGAGAUUCAGAGAGAAGAAAAGGGUUGUGUGAGGCUGGGUCUUUCCAAAUCAGUAAAACCAUGGAGGGAUGGCUGAGUGUUUCAUUUCUAAUUGCUUGCUUUUCAGUUUGCAGUGGAAGGGAUUCUGUUGAUCAAUCACAUGGUUCUCUAACUGCUCGGGAGGGAGACCUGCUGACCCUGGACUGUAAAUAUGAGACAAUAGACACAUCACCAUAUCUCUUCUGGUACAUUCAGCGAGUAAGAGGAGCCCCAGAGUAUAUAUUACUGAGACAUAAAGCUUUUAGCGAAAAUGACCAGGAGUUCAAGCAGAGAUUCAAUGCUACACUCAACACAGACCAAAAAACUGUUCCUCUGACGAUACAGAAUCUACAGGUGUCUGACUCUGCCAUGUACUACUGUGCUCUGAGGCCCACAGUGACAGUAGCAAAUACAACACUCCUACAAAAACCAUACAAUGUCUCUGUGAUGUCGCUUUAA